AACGAACGCUGGCGGCAUGCCUAACACAUGCAAGUCGAACGAGACCUUCGGGUCUAGUGGCGCACGGGUGCGUAACGCGUGGGAACCUGCCCUUAGGUUCGGAAUAACUCCCCGAAAGGGGUGCUAAUACCGGAUAAUGUCUUCGGACCAAAGAUUUAUCGCCUUUGGAUGGGCCCGCGUUGGAUUAGCUAGUUGGUAGGGUAAAAGCCUACCAAGGCGACGAUCCAUAGCUGGUCUGAGAGGAUGAUCAGCCACACUGGGACUGAGACACGGCCCAGACUGCUACGGGAGGCAGCAGUGGGGAAUAUUGGACAAUGGGCGAAAGCAUGAUCCAGCAAUGCCGCGUGAGUGAUGAAGGCCUUAGGGUUGUAAAGCUCUUUUACCCGGGAUGAUAAUGACAGUACCGGGAGAAUAAGCGACGGCUAACUCCGUG
rnacentral:rRNA from 1 species